UACGUAGGGCGCAAGCGUUGUCCGGAAUUAUUGGGCGUAAAGAGCUCGUAGGCGGCUUGUCACGUCGGGCGUGAAAGCCCGGGGCUUAACCCCGGGUCUGCAUUCGAUACGGGCUGGCUAGAGUGUGGUAGGGGAGAUCGGAAUUCCUGGUGUAGCGGUGAAAUGCGUAGAGAUCUGGAAGAACACCAAUGGCGAAGGCAGCAUCCUGGGAAGUACCUGACGCUCAGGUGCGAAAGCCAGGGGAGCGAACGGG
rnacentral:rRNA from 1 species